AGUGAACGCUGGCGGUAGGCCUAACACAUGCAAGUCGAACGGCAGCACAGUAAGAGCUUGCUCUUACGGGUGGCGAGUGGCGGACGGGUGAGGAAUACAUCGGAAUCUACUUUUUCGUGGGGGAUAACGUAGGGAAACUUACGCUAAUACCGCAUACGACCUACGGGUGAAAGCAGGGGAUCUUCGGACCUUGCGCGAUUGAAUGAGCCGAUGUCGGAUUAGCUAGUUGGCGGGGUAAAGGCCCACCAAGGCGACGAUCCGUAGCUGGUCUGAGAGGAUGAUCAGCCACACUGGAACUGAGACACGGUCCAGGCUCCUACGGGAGGCAGCAGUGGGGAAUAUAGGACAAUGGGCGCAAGCCUGAUCCAGCCAUGCCGCGUGGGUGAAGAAGGCCUUCGGGUUGUAAAGCCCUUUUGUUGGGAAAGAAAAGCAGCAGGUUAAUACCCCGCUGUUCUGACGGUACCCAAAGAAUAAGCACCGGCUAACUUCGU
rnacentral:rRNA from 1 species